UAUACUGGCAGGUCAAACACUCAUACACAAAAGGUAAAAUAAAAAAAAAAAAACGAAUGGUGGUAGCCCUAGGGGUCCCAGGAGACAGGAGUGGGGGUGUUGCCACCUCACCCAGUGUUCUGGGCUCUCCUCCAUGUAAGAAGCCAUCUCUCUGGCUCUGAAGGUUUUGCUAUUUUUCCUCCUUAUGCUACCCACCAGACUCCCUUCUCCUCCUCAGUUAGCUCAGUUCCUCAUUCCUAUCUUAGUGUCCGGGAGGGGGGACGUGUUUUUAGAAGAUGGGUGGUUCCUACUCGGCCACAAGGGGGUGCUGGGUUAGAGCAGGCCCCAGUGGCACACAGGUGGCAGGCGGCAGCAGAACCCUGAGGCUAGGUACAUAUGGCUCCACCCCUUUUGUCCAGGACCUUUGCUCCUGGCCCUAAAGGCACUGGCCCUGGGUUGCCAUGGCAGGCUCUUAGUUUGGAUAAACAGAGUCGUCCUCGUGCCGUCCAGGUAACUGACAUCUAAGUGUCUCCCAGGGAUAGGCUGGAAUUUAAGAGUCCAGCCCCUAAACCCCCAGGGGAGGACAAAGGAGGGAUCCAGAGCAAGGGCGACGAGCUUGGGAGGAAAACAGAGAACAGGAGUUGUCUGGGUAGAACUGCUCACAUCUCGCUCCGCUGAAGGGAACGCGGAGGGCCUUGUGCUGAGGACGGUGCUGGGGUCUGCAGUGUGGGAGCUGUGGACACAGAACCCAAACCCCUGCUCGAACACUACCCACCAUUCACAGCGCGAACUGCUCCGCCAAGUCCUGGGUUCCUCACACGUGCUGCAGAGGAGACGCUGGACGUUUCUGCAGAGGUGCUGAGAGUUCAGCUCCUGCGAGUUGAGACGACUGUUGUGUCCAUUGUUCUCAUUUGCUCUCUGAAGGACGUGCUCUGCUCAUUUUGGGAGCACCGAAAGGACUCCCAGAGAGGUUAAGUAACAUGCUCAACUUCACACAAGAAGUUCUUCAGAUGGCUCCUGUUCUGGGGUCUUGGCCCUAGCCACAGCAGAACUUUUGAGAAAAGCCAGGGGCAUUCCCCUGUCUCAGUUAUGUGAGCUUUAGUUGUGUCAUAGACGCCCCUUUUCUCGCUGCUGCACUUCUUGAGAUCAGUUGUAGAAAUUGAAUUAGAGCUGGAGACUAGGGACAUAGCUCUGCGGUAGAGCCCAGCAUCCCCGACCCCAAAGUGCUGCUGUUUUCAAGUGUGGCGUGAUCAGCAUGGGAGAAAUAGGUCACUGGCAUUGGCCUCUGUGAACUACUGAGUAUACGCUAGCCUUUGACACACUAUCCAGCUGCUCCACUCUUCCAGAGGGAGUUUUGUGCUUGCCCGGUGGCUUUUUACAUUUCCAGAUCUUUCCAUCCAUCUUACUUUUGGGUUUCUGUUUGGUUUUUAUACAUAGCCCUGGCUGUUCGGAACCUCACUAUGUAGAUCAGGCUGGCCUCAGAUUCACUUGCCUCUGCCUCCAGAGCGCUGAGAUUAAAGAUAUGUGCCACCCUGAGUUCUGUUUUUGUUUUUCUGGUGCUGGGGAUUGAGCCUAGGACUUCACAAUGAAGACAGGUACUUUACCACCAAACUUUCCCUCCUGUCUUCACACCUUACUUCUCUAAAUUGGGUGUGAUGGUUCCUGGGAGAGGAAGCUGAGGCUGGGGCAUUGCUACGUGUUCAAGGCCAGCAUGGACUAUGUUAUAGAGUCUGUCUUUUCUUCUAAAUCCAGCUUGCUCAAGGGUCCCCUUGCCCCCAAAGUUCUAGGGAACAUGUUUUAAUCCUUUAUUUAUCUAAAGUCAAUAUUUUGUUGGCAAGGCACCAGAGGCUGGCUCACUGUGUAGCUUUCACGUCUUUAUCUGUGUACAUUUAGGUUGGUGAACAUCUGCUGUUUUUGCCUGCUGCUCCCGGCAUCCCCCCCCCCCUUUUGGUGAAUCAUCUCUUUUCCCUCCUGCCAUUAGUUUGGGUAGGCCUGACUCCCUCCCCCUUUCCCAGGAACUCUAGCUCAAAUGACAGCAUUUUAUUAUUCUCCUGACUGAAGUCUU